UGGGGAAUAUUGCACAAUGGGCGAAAGCCUGAUGCAGCGACGCCGCGUGCGGGAUGAAGGCCUUCGGGUUGUAAACCGCUUUCAGCAGGGAUGAGGCCGCAAGGUGACAGUACCUGCAGAAGAAGCUCCGGCUAACUACGUGCCAGCAGCCGCGGUAAUACGUAGGGAGCAAGCGUUAUCCGGAUUCAUUGGGCGUAAAGCGCGCGUAGGCGGCCUGUUAGGUCGGGAGUUAAAUCCGGGGGCUCAACCCCCGUCCGCUUCCGAUACCGGCAGGCUUGAGUUUGGUAGGGGAAGGUGGAAUUCCCAGUGUAGCGGUGGAAUGCGCAGAUAUUGGGAAGAACACCGAUGGCGAAGGCAGCCUUCUGGGCCAUAACUGACGCUGAGGCGCGAAAGCUAGGGGAGCGAACAGG
rnacentral:rRNA from 1 species